UACGAAGGGUGCGAGCGUUGUCCGGAAUCAUUGGGCGUAAAGGGCGCGUAGGUGGCCCGGUCAGUUCGUGGUGAAAGCGCGGGGCUCAACCCUGCGUCGGCCAUGAAUACUGCCGCGGCUGGAGCACUGUAGAGGCAGGCGGAAUUCCGGGUGUAGCGGUGGAAUGCGUAGAGAUCCGGAAGAACACCGGUGGCGAAGGCGGCCUGCUGGGCAGUUGCUGGACACUGAGGCGCGACAGCGUGGGGAGCAAACAGG
rnacentral:rRNA from 1 species